GGUGUAUUAUUCUUUUGGAUUAGUUGUAGGCAAUCUCGGAGAUUUUUUUAUUACAAUAUUUCCAAUGAAAAAUAGUAGAGUCAUACGUUAAUAUAUAUGCUUUGCAGAUGGAGCAUUUCCAGUAGUAUUUAAUGGGUUGGCCUCGUAUCUUGUACUCAAUGUUUCCGCAACGAUAUUUGACCAGAUUACGGGAUUUCACCGUACGCAAUUGCAUUCCUUUAAAGUUUUCC